ACAUGGUCGAACGCUGGCGAUUAUGUGGAUCGUGUCUGGGUUGACAAUACCCAGACACGAUAAAAUCCAAACACGAUGCGUUUAAUAAAGGAUUAACAACAGGUGUUACAAACCCAUUCGGUAAGGGAAAACGGUUAAUUGUGCUGCAUAUUGGUUCGAAACAUGGAUUCUUGGCGGAUGGUCUUUUGUGUUUCCAGUCCGAAAAAAUUAGUGGUGAUUACCACGACGAGACGAACGGCAAUAAUUUCAGAGAGUGGUUUGAGGCAAUCAUUCUUCGGCUGGAACCGAAUUCUAUUAUUGUUAUGGACAACGCACCGUGCCAUUCUGUUCAAACCGAGAUAUUUUCAACAACAAAUUGGAAGAAAGCCAAAAUAUUGGAGUGGCUCGAAUCGAAAGGCAUCAUUCCGGAAAGAUCUAUGUUAAAGCCAGAACUGCUGACCAUUGUAUGUUCAUUGAAACCACCGCAAAAGUCUUAUAUUAUUGAUAACAUGGCCAAGGAUGCAGGGCAUACCGUAAUUCGAUUAUCACCGUAUCACUGUGAAUUCAAUCAAUUUGAAUUGGCAUGGGUGAUGGUAAAAACCUCCGUGAAACAGAGAAAUAUAACUUAUAAAAUUGACGACGUUCAAAGACUGUUGAAUGAGGCAAUUGAUCGGGUAACGCCAGAAAAUUGAAGCAAUUUAAUCAGACAUACAAUUGAAGAGGAGAAUAAAGUUUGGCAAGUCGACGACAUCACGAACGAAAAUAUUGACAUAUUGGAGUCAUGUGUGUUCACAAUCACGGGAAAUGGGGAAAGUGAUGAUGAAUCGGG